GUCGCCUUGCCAGAGUGGUUAAUGGGCUGGCCUGCUAGUUUGGGAUUAAAUCCUGGAGAGCCGAUAGCCAGUGUCUUCGGACGCGCAGGUUCGAAUCCUGUGGGCGACG
rfam:Colletotrichum incanum strain MAFF 238704 contig2371, whole genome shotgun sequence.